rnacentral:rRNA from 1 species
GCGCCCCGGGCGGGGCGGGGGCACGGGGGGAACGCGAAGAACCUUACCUACCCUUGACAUGGCAGGAAUCCCGGAGAGAUUGGGGAGUGCUCGAAAGGGAACCUGAACACAGGUGCUGCAUGGCUGUCGUCAGCUCGUGUCGUGAGAUGUUGGGUUAAGUCCCGCAACGAGCGCAACCCUUGUCAUUAGUUGCUACGAAAGGGCACUCUAAUGAGACUGCCGGUGACAAACCGGAGGAAGGUGGGGAUGACGUCAAGUCCUCAUGGCCCUUAUGGGUAGGGCUUCACACGUCAUACAAUGGUACAUACAGAGGGCCGCCAACCCGCGAGGGGGAGCUAAUCCCAGAAAGUGUAUCGUAGUCCGGAUUCUGUAGUCUGCAACUCGACUGCAUGAAGUUGGAAUCGCUAGUAAUCGCGGAUCAGCAUGUCGCGGUGAAUACGUUCCCG